rfam:Candidatus Nomurabacteria bacterium RIFCSPLOWO2_01_FTLL_33_24 rifcsplowo2_01_scaffold_2281, whole genome shotgun sequence.
UCUGGUGGUUUAAGACAGUGGUCACACCUGUUCUCAUUUCGAACACAGAAGUUAAGCACUGCACUACCGAUGAUACUCUUUAUGGGGAAAGUAGGUAACUGCCAGAA